GAAGGGGAAAGGAAAGCAGACCAAGUGGAGGGGAAGCCUAGUGCCCUGAGGACAAGAGGGACAUAUGUACCAGAUGAAAUUCAUUGGAUCCUAAUCCAAGGCAGAGUUCGUGCCGUGGAGCCAUGGACCAUCUGCAUGAGAUGUAUGGAUUUCUUUUGCCUAGGCAGUAAGCAUGGAUGGCUGAGACUUUGAGCACUGCAAGCUACUAGCUCAAC